UUUUGGGUUUUGGUACAUAAUUCCAUAUUCACCGCCGAAUCCCAAUCCGUAAAGAAGUCCUAAGGCUCAUACCAGUCGCCGGCGACGCCGCUCUUCAAUCAUCCAACACCGUCCGGGCUCCGGCUACUUCUCCGAUGUGACCAUGAGAAGCGGAAAAGUGCUGUAGCUUGCAUAACUGAAGUUAUUGGAGAGAACAAUUCUGAACACUUUUUUGUCGCUACUCAAGAUGCUGUUUUGCGGAGAAAAAGAUACGUGGUGUGCCUGUAAUUUAUGCUCUUAGGAAUGCAUUUUUUCUAGAACAACCAUCAUCAUUUCAACGUCAAUUUGCCAAAUCUGCUGAAGAAGAACGCCUUCAUAUGACUGACCUGGAGUACAAUAUGCUUAGACUUAGGAAAAAGAGGAGAUUGUCUGAUGAUGAACAAGGGGUUUCUUUGGAUGCACCAGAGGAAGAGGUAGACAAUUUUCCAGCAGUUCAGACUAUCAACUAUCAAGACAAAUGCUAAGAGGACUGGAAGUGAUGUCAAGGAUAUUGUUCGCUUCAAGAGAAUUAAAGCUAAGGGUCCAAAUCCACUAUCGACAAGAAGAAAAAGAAAUCUGUGGUUACACAUGUUACUACAUCGGGAAAGGAAAGCAAGAAUGGUGAUGGAAAUGUGAGAAGCAGGAGGAAAAGGGAGAGGUUGAACGAGCACAAAAAUGUAGUGGAAGGAAAUAUUUAGGGGUUGUUUGGAUGUAAAAAAGUUAUCCCAGGAUUAAUUAUCCCGGGAUUAGUUAUUCCAUCUUUCCAUGGGGAUAAAAAAAUACUACAAUUCCGGGAUAACUAAUCCGCGGAUUACUUAUACCGUAAUUUUAUCCCAACCAAACAUGGGAUAAGCUCUUCUUAAAUUUAGUCCCGGGAUUAAUUAUUCCUUAUCCUUCGUACCAAACGAGCCCUUAAUGUACAGGCAUCCACCAGGAAAUCUUUAGCUCAUGACUUGCUUUGUAAUAUCGGGUAAUGGUAAUCUAUAAAGUUAGGAGUCCAAAUCCUGAUGCUGCAUCAUAAUGAGAGCAUUUUUUUAGAGCUCAAUUUAACUGAAGGCGCAGCUGUGAAAGUGCCAACACAAUGUACAUUGUAGAAGCUGCAUAAUUGCUUUGGAGUUUUAUGGGUCUACGACUUCUUUUCUUAGUGGUUAAUUUUGAAUGGAUCAAGA